AGAUAGAAGUUACUUCGGUACAUCGGUGACAGGUGGUGCAUGGUUGUCGUCAGCUCGUGUCGUGAGAUGUUGGGUUAAGUCCCGCAACGAGCGCAACCCUUGUCACUAGUUGCCAUCAUUUAGUUGGGCACUCUAGUGAGACUGCCGGUGACAAACCGGAGGAAGGUGGGGAUGACGUCAAGUCCUCAUGGCCCUUAUGGGUAGGGCUUCACACGUCAUACAAUGGUCGGUACAGAGGGUUGCCAAGCCGCGAGGUGGAGCCAAUCCCUUAAAGCCGAUCGUAGUCCGGAUCGUAGUCUGCAACUCGACUACGUGAAGUCGGAAUCGCUAGUAAUCGCAGAUCAGCAUGCUGCGGUGAAUACGUUCCCGGGUCUU
rnacentral:rRNA from 1 species